UAGAGUCAGAGGUCGUGGGGCCAGAAGGCGUUCCUGCCGCGGGCCUGGUGGCUAUGUAGCAGAGGGGCAAGCGUCCUCCUGCAUGUUCUGGAAGGUUCUUGUGCUUAACUAGGGCAGUAGCCCCAAGACUUGUAGUCGCCGGCUUCGGGUCCCUGGCGGCUGAGCGGAGUCGCCGCCAUGUUUGGCUGCUUGGUGGCUGGGAGGCUGGUGCAAACAGCUGCACAGCAAGUGGCAGAGGAUAAAUUUGUUUUUGACUUGCCUGAUUAUGAAAGUAUCAACCAUGUUGUGGUUUUUAUGCUGGGAACAAUCCCAUUUCCUGAGGGAAUGGGAGGAUCUGUCUACUUUUCCUAUCCUGAUUCAAACGGAAUGCCUGUAUGGCAACUCCUAGGAUUUGUCACAAAUGGGAAACCAAGUGCCAUCUUCAAAAUUUCAGGUCUUAAAUCUGGAGAAGGAAGCCAACACCCUUUUGGAGCCAUGAAUAUUGUCCGGACUCCAUCUGUUGCUCAGAUUGGAAUUUCAGUGGAAUUAUUGGACAGUUUGGCUCAGCAGACUCCAGUAGGCAAUGCUGCUGUAUCCUCAGUUGACUCAUUCACUCAGUGGUCUGGAACUGAACUGCAAUAUGUCCGAGUUCACACAAAAGAUGUUGGACAACUUCUAUAAUUUUGCUUCAUCAUUUGCUGUCUCUCAGGCCCAGAUGACACCAAGUCCAUCUGAAAUGUUCAUUCCAGCAAAUGUGGUUUUGAAAUGGUAUGAAAACUUUCAAAGACGACUAGCACAGAACCCUCUCUUUUGGAAAACAUAAUUUGAAUAAAAUAAUUUUUAAUGGAUUCUGAAAUUUGUCAUGUUUUGAAGAGAAAUGCCUCCAUUUAAAAGUACGAAGUCAAAAGAAUCAUGAAGCCUAAGUUUAAAAACUGCUUAUUGACUGAAGCUUAAUGAAAAUCUUCAUAAAAAAUUAAAAACAUGGAAAAAUGAAAAUAUGUUCCUUAUUAAUGAGUUUUUCUCCCUUAAGCUUAAAAUAUGCAGAGGCAAACACUUUGUUUUGGCUAGGAUUCAUUUUUUACUUAAAAAUAAAGCAUAUUCACAA